ACAGAGUUAUAAAUCCUCCUGAAGCUUGUGCUGCGAUGCAAAUAAUCUCUAUGUAAAUCUGUGUAAGGAUUACAACAGAUAAUGCAAAUAAAACUAACAGUGUUUAGGAUCUUUUCUCAUGUUAUGAUUCAGAAACAUGGAAUUAUGAGUUUAGAGGCUUUCUGAGGAUUUUCUGAAGUUGCAUCACUAUCAGAAACAAGUACAUCACUGUGAGGGCAAAGGUCAUUCCAGAGGUCACAGGUCAUCAAAACUUAAAAUUGCUUUAAUAAUUAAAACUUGCUUUGAGAAACACAUGAUUAUUUAAAUCCCAUACUUAGGAUAUCUAAUGUGUGAUUAAUACAUACAUACAUACAUACAUUUUCUGAAUUAUUUAAUUUUUUUUUUUAAACUUUGAUUUGUUAUUUGUUUACAGUUAUAUUCUUAUUUUUCAUGCAUCAAGAGACAUUUAGAGAUGAUGAGGCUGUUUCUGUGAAAGUCACUUCAGUCCAAUAAUCAUUAUUUAAUGUUGAGAAGAGCUGCUGUUGAGUCUCAUAUCAGUGUGUGUGAGUGUCGUUCGUCUCUUUCUCUGCUGGAGUUUGUGUUCAUUUGAGUGUGACGGAGGUUUUUGUACGACGCUUUCACUAGAAUGAAGCACUGUGGUGGACUUUCGGUGGAGGAACUGAACUGACCAUCACUGGUCCCGCAGUGAAGCCCUCCGUGUCUCUGCUGCCGCCCUCUUCUCUGCAGAUCUCUGGAGACUCAGCCGCACUGCUCUGCCUGCUCAGCUCUUACUCUCCACAGGGGGCGACGGUGAGCUGGACGCUGGACGGGUCAGAGGUCACCGAGGGCGUUCAGACCAGCGCAGAGAGCGAGCGGGACGGACGCUACAGCCGCAGCAGCGUCCUGAGCCUCAGCAAAGCACGCUGGGAAGGCGCGGAUCGCUUCGUCUGCAGAGUAAGACAUGACGGAGCUGAUCACGAGGCCUCGUUCCUCAAGAGCUCCCAGUGCUGAUGUUUCUCCGGUCCAGACGAGCCGUAUCCGAGCGUCCGGCAGGAUUCACAGCAGUCACGUGAUUUACAGCUCAAUACUGAAGCAGUCUUUCAAUGUGCUGCCAUUGCUGUUCAUUCAAUAAAGCUUCUGAACGCGUUA